UUCCCUUCUCAAGUCUGGGAAAAAAAAAAAAAAGCAAGACUCUCCCAGGCUUAGUCAGCACCUUAACCUGCUGUCAUUCCCGAGCUGUUGUGGGGUGCAUGUCUCCAACUGAAGCAUGUCUCAAAGGACAAGAGGAUGGGAAGCCAAAAUCAAGGUGUCAGCUGGGCUGCACUCUGCCUGGAGCCCCACAGGAGAGUCCAGGUGGCUUCUUUCUCUCUGAUGGUGAUCAGCAGUCUGCUGUCAGAAGAUGGACAGUUCCCGCUCCAUUGUCCUAUGACCAGUUACACCUGCAAUGACUGUUUUCAAAUGAGGCCACCGAGGAUAAGGAAUGAAGACCAUUGUUGGCGACACAAUUCGACCCAUAACACGUCACACAGCUCAGCAGCUAGAAUCGGAUCAAAGGAGCAUAUCCCACCUACAGGCUCUACACAGCUCUGGUCAACCUUCCACGUUAGCAAAGCUAAUUCUGCCGUCCCCAAGAGAAGGCAAGCCAUUCAUUUGCCUGUUCUUUCAGAAUGAUUUGGUGUACCCUAGACACACCAGCUGUGGGUGGCCUGUGUCACCUGGGGAGAAUAUUAAAAGACAAUAUCAUUUUGGAAUUCUUUUUCCUACUGAAUGCAGGUGACGUCUGGGCCAUUUGGGGCCAGGUACUCUGCCCAAAGCCUCCAUUUGUACUAUAUCCCACACAGCCACCUAUGAGCUUAUGCUGCAAUAUUCCUCUGCAAGAGGAAAACCAAACACCAAGUGAUUAAAGAAAAACGUGCUAACCG